rnacentral:rRNA from 1 species
CUACACUGCAAGUCGAGCGAACAGAUAAGGAGCUUGCUCCUUUGACGUUAGCGGCGGACGGGUGAGUAACACGUGGGUAACCUACCUAUAGGACUGGGAUAACUUCGGGAAACCGGAGCUAAUACCGGAUAACAUUUGGAACCGCAUGGUUCUAAAGUGAAAGAUGGUUUUGCUAUCACUUAUAGAUGGACCCGCGCCGUAUUAGCUAGUUGGUAAGGUAACGGCUUACCAAGGCAACGAUACGUAGCCGACCUGAGAGGGUGAUCGGCCACACUGGAACUGAGACACGGUCCAGACUCCUACGGGAGGCAGCAGUAGGGAAUCUUCCGCAAUGGGCGAAAGCCUGACGGAGCAACGCCGCGUGAGUGAUGAAGGGUUUCGGCUCGUAAAACUCUGUUAUUAGGGAAGAACAAAUGUGUAAGUAACUGUGCACAUCUUGACGGUACCUAAUCAGAAAGCCACGGCUAACUACGUGCCAGCAGCCGCGGUAAUACGUAGGUGGCAAGCGUUAUCCGGAAUUAUUGGGCGUAAAGCGCGCGUAGGCGGUUUCUUAAGUCUGAUGUGAAAGCCCACGGCUCAACCGUGGAGGGUCAUUGGAAACUGGGAGACUUGAGUGCAGAAGAGGAAAGUGGAAUUCCAUGUGUAGCGGUGAAAUGCGCAGAGAUAUGGAGGAACACCAGUGGCGAAGGCGACUUUCUGAUCUGUAUCUGACGCUGAUGUG